AUCACUCUCUUCUGGGUCUAAGGGUUCAUCCUCCCAACCAUCAGUGCAGUCAAGACCGGUCAGGUCAUCCAGCGCCGUUAGAUGUUUCACAUGCGGAGGACCCCAUUACAGGAACAACUGCCCUGUUGGAAGUGGUGCAAGGAAGUGCUUCAGGUGUAGAAAAUAAGGAGACAUUGUUGUUGAGUGUACCUCUGUAGUAGGGUCAGGGUCUCAAGCAC
rnacentral:lncRNA from 1 species